UUGCUUGUCGUAGGUUUUCAACUGAAAUUUUCACUCCUGAUUCACGUGGAGGUGCUUUUCCAUCCGAUUUAUUGUCUUCAAAGACUGUACUAACACCAGAGCGUACAAUAGGUAUGGGAAAGAAUAUAGUACCAUAUUCCAUAUGUAGCUGUUUGCCUUUAAAAAUAUUGUGAUGGUAGUGGCACUUUCAUUUUACCGUAGUUUGAAGCCAAUAUGCAUUGGUAGGAAACCUUUGGAAUUUUCUUUGGCUUUCUAUUGGAUAUAAGGAUAUCAAAGAUUGAGGACAAAUAUUGUUACCAAGCCACAUGAUAAUUUGUUUCUGUGCUAAAACUUGCCUCCAGGAAUCAUCUUGAAAGAUGCCAGCUCGUGAACCUAAGUCUCCAUGGUUUUAUAUUGCCUUCCGUUUGGCACUUGUGUUAGUUAAACUGAGUCCAGCUUAUAAGCAUUUCAGUAAUAGCAGGAAUAGGUCAAUGGUGCUUUUUUGUUUAAAAUGAGCAGCAUUGUUCUAUUGAAUUAAUGUAUUAUGGUGCAGGACUUUAUGAGGACCUGGUAAUUCCUGUGACAAAUUUUCAUAAUGAAGAGAAGGGCUUCAUGGUUUUGGCUGGUGAUGUUUUUGAUGUACCUAUUAGAAAGGAUAUUAUCCACCGUGUUGUACUAUGGCAGCUUGCAAAACGACAACAGGUGCCAUUUCAUCCUUCAAAAGCACACACAUCUAGGUAUUAUUGUGAAAUUCUUGAGACUAUUCCUUAUAUGUUUUUUUAACUUAAUACUUUCUUAGUUUCUUUCCUUUUUGUCCUUCUAUUUCCAAUAAAUUGUGUAAACAGUUUUUCACUUAUGCAGUCAAUCUGCUAAGUAUGAAGAUUAGUUACAAUUGAAUGGUCAACAGUGAACACAUUCAACAAAAACUAUUAGUGAGGUUAGUGGGACUGGUAGAAAGCCCUGGCAACAGAAGGGUCUUGGUCGAGCAAGGCAUGGAACUCUGCGUGGUCCCCAGUUUCGAGGUGGUGCUACUAUGCAUGGCCCUAAGCCAGGAAGUCAUGCUAUUAAGUUGAAUAAGAAGGUUCGACGCCUUGGACUGAAGAUUGCGCUGUCUGCUCGUGCUGCCGAAGGCAAGCUUCGUCUUUGAGGAUUUGGAGGUUCCUACACAUAAGACAAAAAAUAUUGUGAACUAUAUAAAUCAAAUGGAGAAUACUAAGAAACUUCUG